GUUUGGUCCUAACCUUAAAAUCAAUUUUUUUUUAACUUACACAUGCAAGUAUCCGCACCCCUGUGAGAACGCCCUUAAACCCCUGAAGGGGCAAGGAGCCGGUAUCAGGCACAAUUUUUAGCCCAAGACACCUAGCCACGCCACACCCACAAGGGAACUCAGCAGUGAUUAACAUUGAAUAUAAGCGACAGCUUGAUUCAGUUAAAAAAAGAAGAGCCGGCUAAUCUGGUGCCAGCCGCCGCGGUUACACCAUGUGGCUCAAAUUGACUUUGAUCGGCGUAAAGCGUGAUUUAAGAGACUUACCUUUGGUGCCAAAAAGACACUAAGCCGUGACACGCUUGUAGUCGAGAAGCCCUAAAACGAAAGAUACACCAAUUAAACCAACUUGAACUCACGACAGCUGGGAAACAAACUGGGAUUAGAUACCCCACUAUGCCCGGCCGUAAAUUUUAACUUACACCCCCUCCAUCGCCAGGGAACUACGAGCAAAGCUUAAAACCCAAAGGACUUGACGGUACCCCAAAUCCAUCUAGAGGAGCCUGUUCUUUAAUCGAUAACCCCCGCUUAACCUCACCACUUUUUGCCUAUCAGCCUGUAUACCUCCGUCGUCAGCUUACCACGUGAGCGCCAUCAAGUGAGCUUAAUGUCCACACGCCAAUACGUCAGGUCAAGGUGCAGCUAAUAAAGUGGGAAGAAAUGGGCUACACUCUCUAUACUAGAGGAAACGGAAGGUCAGCUAUGAAACCUGACCAAAAGGAGGAUUUAGCAGUAAAGAGAAAAAAGAGUGUUCUCUUUAACCUGGCA
rnacentral:ncRNA from 1 species